rnacentral:rRNA from 1 species
AAUAAGCUAUUUAAGAGCGUACGGUGGAUGCCUAGGCUCUCAGAGGCGAUGAAGGACGUGAUAAGCUGCGAUAAGCUGCGGGGAUUGGCACACACAAUUUGAUCCGCAGAUUUCCGAAUGGGGAAACCCACUAUAUUGAAGAUAUAGUAUCCGUUAAGGAAGCAAACCCAGGGAACUGAAACAUCUAAGUACCUGGAGGAAUAGAAAACAAAAGUGAUUCCGCUAGUAGUGGCGAGCGAACGCGGAAUAGCCCAAACCAAAAUUGUUUCGGCAAUUUUGGGGUUGUAGGA